CAGCCGCCACGGUAAUACGGAGGGGGCUAGCGUUGUUCGGAAUUACUGGGCGUAAAGCGCACGUAGGCGGCUUGGUAAAUUAGAGGUGAAAGCCCGGAGCUCAACUCCGGAAUUGCCUUUAAGACUGCCGAGCUAGUAGGUGAGAGAGGUAAGUGGAAUUCCGAGUGUAGAGGUGAAAUUCGUAGAUAUUCGGAAGAACACCAGUGGCGAAGGCGGCUUACUGGCUCAUUCUAGACGCUGAGGUGCGAAAGCGUGGGGAGCAAACGGGAUUAGAUACCCCUGUAGUCCCUGUCUCUUAUAC
rnacentral:rRNA from 1 species